rnacentral:rRNA from 1 species
UGCGUAGGUGGCGUGGUAAGUCGGGUGUGAAAUUUCGGAGCUUAACUCCGAAACUGCAUUCGAUACUGCUGUGCUUGAGGACUGGAGAGGAGACUGGAAUUUACGGUGUAGCAGUGAAGUGCGUAGAGAUCGUAAGGAAGACCAGUGGCGAAGGCGGGUCUCUGGACAGUUCCCGACACUGAGGCACGAAGGCCAGGGAGGCAAACG